rnacentral:rRNA from 1 species
GAAGCUGGAAUCGCUAGUAAUCGCGAAUCAGCAUGUCGCGGUGAAUACGUUCCCGGGUCUUGUACACACCGCCCGUCACACCAUGGGAGUUGGCAACGCCCGAAGCCAGUGACCCAACCGAGAGGAGGGAGCUGUCGAAGGCGGGGCCGGUAACUGGGGUGAAGUCGUAACAAGGUAAC